GCCAGGUGUGGUUGUGCACACCUGUAAUCCCAGCAACUUGGGAGGCUGAGGCAGGAGGAUCACAAGGUUGCUGCCGCCUCAGCAAUUUAGUGAGACCCAAAGCAACUU
rnacentral:sRNA from 1 species